AGUGAACGCUGGCGGUAGGCCUAACACAUGCAAGUCGAACGGCAGCACAGUAAGAGCUUGCUCUUACGGGUGGCGAGUGGCGGACGGGUGAGGAAUACAUCGGAAUCUACUUUUUCGUGGGGGAUAACGUAGGGAAACUUACGCUAAUACCGCAUACGACCUACGGGUGAAAGCAGGGGAUCUUCGGACCUUGCGCGAUUGAAUGAGCCGAUGUCAGAUUAGCUAGUUGGCGGGGUAAAGGCCCACCAAGGCGACGAUCCGUAGCUGGUCUGAGAGGAUGAUCAGCCACACUGGAACUGAGACACGGUCCAGACUCCUACGGGAGGCAACAGUGGGGAAUAUUGGACAAUGGGCGCAAGCCUGAUCCAGCCAUACCGCGUGGGUGAAGAAGGCCUUCGGGUUGUAAAGCCCUUUUGUUGGGAAAGAAAAGCAGCAGGUUAAUACCCCGCUGUUCUGACGGUACCCAAAGAAUAAGCACCGGCUAACUUCGUG
rnacentral:rRNA from 1 species